GGCGGCGUGCCUAAUACAUGCAAGUCGAGCGGACCGACGGGAGCUUGCUCCCUUAGGUCAGCGGCGGACGGGUGAGUAACACGUGGGUAACCUGCCUGUAAGACUGGGAUAACUCCGGGAAACCGGGGCUAAUACCGGAUGCUUGAUUGAACCGCAUGGUUCAAUCAUAAAAGGUGGCUUUUAGCUACCACUUGCAGAUGGACCCGCGGCGCAUUAGCUAGUUGGUGAGGUAACGGCUCACCAAGGCGACGAUGCGUAGCCGACCUGAGAGGGUGAUCGGCCACACUGGGACUGAGACACGGCCCAGACUCCUACGGGAGGCAGCAGUAGGGAAUCUUCCGCAAUGGACGAAAGUCUGACGGAGCAACGCCGCGUGAGUGAUGAAGGUUUUCGGAUCGUAAAACUCUGUUGUUAGGGAAGAACAAGUACCGUUCGAAUAGGGCGGCACCUUGACGGUACCUAACCAGAAAGCCACGGCUAACUACGUGCCAGCAGCCGCGGUAAUACGUAGGUGGCAAGCGUUGUCCGGAAUUAUUGGGCGUAAAACGCGCGCAGGCGGUUUCUUAAGUCUGAUGUGAAAGCCCCCGGCUCAACCGGGGAGGGGUCAUUGGAAACUGGGGAACUUGAGUGCAGAAGAAGAGAAUGGAAUUCCACGUUGUA
rnacentral:rRNA from 1 species